AUAUUUCCCUGGGUCAAUUGAACGGUGAGACGCGGUAGUUAGGCAGCAGAAACGACUGCGGCUGGAGAGUGCUGGGUUAAGGUCCCUUCUCAUUCACCUAAAGGCAACGCGUGGUUUCGCCGUCGAUCGGGUUCGGACGCUGCGGGAGACAGGAUGAAGUUGAUGCUCAUUCUGCAGGCGUGUUUGGUGGUCGCAGCAAUGGCGGAGACCUGGCAACAGAAGUACGAUAGCUGGGCUUCGAAUCUGAAACCCGGAUGGACAAUUCAGACAACAAUCCAGGAUGGACGCAAAUGCUACUGUAAAAUGCCGAAUGAAACAGUGCCUUUUCAAUCGUCGUUUGGAGGUGAGGGACAAAUUUGAAUGCACAGG